rnacentral:rRNA from 1 species
UACGUAGGGUCCGAGCGUUGUCCGGAGUUACUGGGCGUAAAGCGCGCGCAGGUGGUCCACUGAAGCCCGGCGUGAAAGCCCCCGGCUCAACCGGGGGAGCAGUCGGUCGGGGACUGGUGGGACUUGAGGGCGGCAGGGGGCUGGUGGAAUUCCUGGUGUAGCGGUGAAAGUGCGCAGAUAGUCAGGAGGAACACCUAGUUGCGAAGGCAGCUCGCUGGGACGUUACUGACGCUGGAGGAGCGAAAGCGUGGGGGAGCGAACAGG